AACGAACGUUGGCGGCGUGGAUUAGGCAUGCAAGUCGAACGAAUCCCGGUAGCAAUACCGGGGGAAGUGGCGAAAGGGGCAGUAAUGUGUGGAUAACCUACCCUGGGGUUGGGCAUAGCCGUUCUAACGAACGGGUAAUUCCCAGCGAUUCGGCGUGACGGCAUCGUCGUGCCGGGAAAGAUUUAUCGCCUCGGGAGGGGUCCAUAUCGUAUUACCUAGUUGGUGAGGUAACGGCUCACCAAGGGGAAGAUGCGUAGCGGGUGUGAGAGCACGACCCGCGCCACUGGCACUGUGACACUGGCCAGACACCUACGGGUGGCUGCAGUCGAGGAUCUUCGUCAAUGGACGCAAGUCUGAACGAGCGACGCCGCGUGUGCGAUGAAGGCCUUCGGGUUGUAAAGCACGAAAGUGGGGAUAAAAGCCGAAAGGUCUGAUUGAUCCACAGUAAGCUCGGGCUAAGUUCGUGCCAGCAGCCGCGGUAAUAC
rnacentral:rRNA from 1 species